UACGUAGGGUGCAAGCGUUGUCCGGAAUUAUUGGGCGUAAAGAGCUCGUAGGCGGUCUGUCGCGUCGGCUGUGAAAACUCGGGGCUCAACCCCCGAGCCUGCAGUCGAUACGGGCAGACUAGAGUGCUGUAGGGGGAGACUGGAAUUCCUGGUGUAGCGGUGAAAUGCGCAGAUAUCAGGAGGAACACCGGUGGCGAAGGCGGCAUCCUGGACCGGCAUUGACGCUGAGGCGCGAAAGCCAGGGGAGGCAAACGGG
rnacentral:rRNA from 1 species